GACGAACGCUGGCGGCGUGCUUAACACAUGCAAGUCGAACGGUGAACCUCUUCGGAGGGGAUCAGUGGCGAACGGGUGAGUAACACGUGGGCAACCUGCCCCCGGCUCUGGGAUAACUCCAAGAAAUUGGGGCUAAUACCGGAUGUUCACCGCUUCCCGCAUGGGUGGUGAUGAAAAGGGUUUCCGGCUGGGGAUGGGCCCGCGGCCUAUCAGCUUGUUGGUGGGGUAGUGGCCUACCAAGGCGACGACGGGUAGCCGGCCUGAGAGGGUGACCGGCCACACUGGGACUGAGACACGGCCCAGACUCCUACGGGAGGCAGCAGUGGGGAAUAUUGCGCAAUGGGCGGAAGCCUGACGCAGCGACGCCGCGUGGGGGAUGACGGCCUUCGGGUUGUAAACCUCUUUCAGCAGGGACGAAGCGCAAGUGACGGUACCUGCAGAAGAAGCACCGGCCAACUACGUG
rnacentral:rRNA from 1 species